rnacentral:rRNA from 1 species
AUGGCAUAUGCGUACAGGUGGCGGAGAAACCUCUGCACACUCAUGAGGUUCUUACCGCAGGUGGAGCGCCCCGACCAGCCUGUUUCUCUCCAUGACAAGUACUUUUACACGGCUGCUUCGGUUUUCAUCUUCAUGGCUGCCAGCCAGCUCCCUCUAUAUGGCUUCAAACCAGGCAUGGGGAUUGAUCCAUUUUACUGGGUCGGCAUGGCUUUUGCAUCAAACUGGGGAACUCUCACCACUUUUGGGAUCCUCCCUGUUUUUGUACCUGAGUUUUUAGUGCCAGUCUGUAUCUCGAGGAUUCUAAAAGUGAGCAGCAGGACUCCUGAGGGUCGAAUGCUUCUGGAUGGAGCUCACAAGGUGGUUGGGAUAUGCACUAACAUUGUGAUGGUUAUUAUCUUUAUGCUAGUGUAUGCCAUUCUUGUCAAAGUUGACACGUGCACUGCUGUUGUAAUGAUGCUCCAACUUUUCUUCUCUGGUGUUGUUGUCCUCUAUCUCGAUGAGGUGCUGAAGAAAGGAUAUGGAUUGUUGCCAAGUAUCUCGUUAUUCACUGCCACCAAUAUUUGUGUAAGUGUUCUUUGGAAGGCCUUUAGCCCCUCUUAUGUUACUUAUUAUCAUGAGCAAGGUGCUCAAUUUGAGGGAGCUGUUAUUGCCUGGGUCCAUCUUUUGGUUACUGGAACGGACAAGUUCUCUGCAACCUGUCAAGCCUUUUGCCGCCAAAACCUCCCGAAUGUCACCAACCUGCUGGUUACUUGCUUGUUUUGUCUAAUUGCCUUAUUCUUUCAGAGCUUUUAUGUUGCGCUGCCAGUGAAGUUACUUGAUUGCGCUCAGUUCACCUACCGCCUCAAGUUCUCCUAUAUCUCCUACGCCGCUAUUAUCUUGCAACAGGUUGUGGUUACGUAUCUAUUAGUCAUCUCAGAGGUANNNNNNNNNAUAUUUUGUGCAUUGGUGGACCUGCAUGGCAGGUCGAAUGGGUCUAGUAAGACUAUUGGGAUUUGUCGCCGAGGCGAUGGGAUUUUCUACUACCUAACAGCACCUCCAACUUUGAUUGAUCUGCAGAGAGACCCGGUCCAUGUAUUUCUCUACAUCGUCAUUGUGCUUAGUGCAUGUGCUUAUUUCUCAGUAAUUUGGACCAGAUGCUGUAUGACAUCCAGAAGAUUUUUACAUGACAUGCUAGGGGAAGAUGUGCAGCUUCCUGGCCCUGACACGAUGUCUGACGACGAAUUCCAGAGUUGCAUAGCCAAGGGGGCUUGUCUUGGUGGCAUUUGUGUGGGCUUGUUGAUAGUUUUGUCCGAUUUUGCUGGUCUAUGUGGUUCUGGUAUGGGGAUUCUGCUUGCUGUUGCAGCGGUGUAUCCCUACUUUGAGGGGGUGAGAGCUGAAGACAUAGGUGUCUUUGGCCUCUGA